rnacentral:lncRNA from 1 species
GUAAAUCGAAGGUAAUUUAAAAGUUCAAGUUCAUCUAAGCAGAUUCUUGUACGGUCUCACGGUCACUCCUCCUUUGUCACUGCAGAUGCUCAGCUUGCUGUGCUCCUAGCAUCUGGUUUCUGGCUACGAAGGAAGGUCGGACUGCAGAUUCAUAUUUUCAUCCUGAGAUUUGCUCAAUGCAGUAAAUACAUUUUUAAAGAGACGGACAAGGCGCUGCUUCCGGAC